CACUCCUGCGGGAGGCAGCAGUGGGGAAUAUUGCACAAUGGGCGCAAGCCUGAUGCAGCCAUGCCGCGUGUAUGAAGAAGGCCUUCGGGUUGUAAAGUACUUUCAGCGGGGAGGAAGGCAAUACGGUUAAUAACCGUGUUGAUUGACGUUACCCGCAGAAGAAGCACCGGCUAACUCCGUGCCAGCAGCCGCGGUAAUACGGAGGGUGCAAGCGUUAAUCGGAAUUACUGGGCGUAAAGCGCACGCAGGCGGUCUGUCAAGUCGGAUGUGAAAUCCCCGGGCUCAACCUGGGAACUGCAUUCGAAACUGGCAGGCUUGAGUCUUGUAGAGGGGGGUAGAAUUCCAGGUGUAGCGGUGAAAUGCGUAGAGAUCUGGAGGAAUACCGGUGGCGAAGGCGGCCCCCUGGACAAAGACUGACGCUCAGGUGCGAAAGCGUGGGGAGCAAACAGGAUUAGAUACCCGGGUAGUCCCAUGAU
rnacentral:rRNA from 1 species